AUUGAACGCUGGCGGCAUGCUUUACACAUGCAAGUCGAACGGCAGCGCGGGCUUCGGCCUGGCGGCGAGUGGCGAACGGGUGAGUAAUUCAUCGGAACGUGCCCAGCAGUGGGGGAUAGCCCGGCGAAAGCCGGAGUAAUACCGCAUACGACCUGAGGGUGAAAGCGGGGGACCGAAAGGCCUCGCGCUAUUGGAGCGGCCGAUGUCGGAUUAGCUAGUUGGUGGGGUAAAGGCUUACCAAGGCGACGAUCCGUAGCUGGUCUGAGAGGACGACCAGCCACACUGGGACUGAGACACGGCCCAGACUCCUACGGGAGGCAGCAGUGGGGAAUUUUGGACAAUGGGGGCAACCCUGAUCCAGCCAUGCCGCGUGCGGGAAGAAGGCCUUCGGGUUGUAAACCGCUUUUGUUCGGGAAGAAAUCCUCUGGGCUAAUACCCCGGGGGGAUGACGGUACCGGAAGAAUAAGCACCGGCUAACUACGUG
rnacentral:rRNA from 1 species